AAUCUAAAAUGGAAUGAAAAGGUUGUGGAUAUAUAUCAUGACGUCAACGUGACUAAUCCCAGGCGUAAAAUUUGUAAUGAAACCGCUGCGAAAACUUUCGAUUCGCCACUGUGCAUAUCAAUAAAAAAUAAAAGCUGGCAAGCAACUUUCUGCGAAAUGCUUUCCAAAUCCCCCGACAACUUGUGGGCAGAUUAAAAUGUAAAUUCUUUAGCAGCCUUCGAGGUGUUGGUACGUUGGUGUGUUGGUGUGUUGGUUUUUCAUUUCUACUUUUUAUACUUUUCACACUUUUGUUUUUCUUUUUGUUUUUCGCCCCCCGAGUGUGUGUGUGUGUGUGUUUAUUCCCCCGAGCAUUUCACGGUGCACUUGAGCCGCCCGGCUAGGAAUCCUUCAUUAACUUUGAAUGGAAUGAAAACACUCGAGUCGGCAGUGAGUUGCGUUUGCGGCCCUUCACAUCUUAAUUAAGCUCUUGGGAGCAACUCCACGGAUUCCGGUUAUUCCAGUGAUUCCCCGCCCGCCACUCUGUGCACAAUCUCAGGCAAAGGUGAGGCCACAUACUCCUGUUGAUACCCCUUCUCCGGCCCAUCAUUACCGGCCUCAAAAGCCAAGAGGAAGCCCAGCCCAAGACCAAGACCAAGAGCUAAACCAAGACCAUCCGGCAGCGGAUGCGCCGACAUUUAAGCCAACGGAAGUGAAAAGACAAAACAAAAUGGCUGCUCAUGCACAAGCGGGUGCGCCAUUUUCCAGUUCAUGCCCAUGUGCCACUAUUAGUGGUAUUAGUGGGUCCCAUUUUUUUAUGGUUCGGGGCCAGCUCUAUUUGCCAGCGGUUUAUUUUUAAAUGAACCGGCUAUGAAUAGGGCUCUAGUUUGCGAGGGGCUGCGGCAAAUGAAUGCUAAUGCGAAUAAUGGCGGGCUUCUGCAGAUUGCUAGACAGCUGGAUACCCAACUAGAAAUGGAAUUCAUAUCUCAAGUGGUGCCAUAAAAGUACUAGUCCUUGUGCUUCGAAUGGUAUUUCGCAGUAAUAAGCUUUGAAUGAGUCGCACAGCUGGUGACUUUUUGGCCAUUCCAUCUGCAGCGUAUUACUUAUGCAUUAAGAGCGGUCCCUCAUCAAUCGACCCCGUCGUACCCUCUACUCGCAGUCUGCCAAGGGGAAAGCCAUAUGCCGCAGCAUCAGCAGUCCACAAAGCUACGCUUACGUCUUUUUCCCAGAUGAGUUUUAUUUGGUUUUCGCUUCCGUGGCCAACAGCAGCAACAGCAGCAACAGCAGCAGCGGGCAAAUUCUGUGAAAGUGUUGACAAAGUGGCUGGGGGGUGGUGGCGUGGCUACCGUGGACCAUGUCCGUGACCCGAGGCCAACCUUUGAUGGCCAGAGUGCCACCAAAAAGCGAUUACCGAAUGGCCAGAGCCGGUCGGGCAUAUUUCACCCGUAGGAAGGGCCUAAAAUCUGACUACAAAUUGCACAUGUCAGACGAGUCAAGGGGGCCCACAUUAAACAGCCAACAGCCAACGCUGCAAUAGAGCCAGCAUUUAUAAUUAACCGAACUGGGCCGAGCCAGAACACAUCGCAGACAGGCCAUUUAAGUUUCGGAUGAGAAAACUAGAUGAGUAAACUAGAAGGGAUGAGUGCGAGGCACGAACGCCAGCACAGUGGCUUAAAAGCUUUUGAGCGAAUGGCCCAGGAAAUUGUAUAAAGCAUUCCUGUCUGAAGGACAUAACAUCGCUUUAAGGCGUGCAGCUUCCAGGGAGUUUAUUAAAAAGGAAAUAAGUUCGUUCAAGGUAAAAACUGAAGUAAAAUAUAAGAUAUGAAUAAGGCAGCCUUGUUUCGGAACAGUCUUUAUACAAAGCGUGUUAUUUCUUCCAACAUCGCUAGCUAAAUUUCCAGGUUCAGAAGAAAAUGUAUAAAUUUAUUAAGCUGACUUAAUUACGUUUUAAUUGCCAAUUCUGGCCUUGUGCCACUGAAGGGCUGUAUAUUCCUAAGAGCUCAUAACGAAGAAAAAUAAAAUUUUGUACUUGCGCA